AUAGGAACAGCUGUACCUUAUUUGGGGUUAGUCAGUCACUUUAAUUUACGGCAGGUGUAUACUAAUUAGUACUCAACACGAGUUUGAAUGUGACGGAUUCUGAACACUGCCACAUUCCCAAUUAUAAAAGGGUGUGCACACUGAAGAUUUUGCAGCGGCAAUCUACGCACAAGUACUGAAGGAAAAGAGGAAAUAACUUGCCAUUGAUUUCCCCCCAAUAUGAAUAAAUCAUUAACAUUAAACAAAGAUACUCAGCGGUCAUUGUUUUAAGCAUGAAAUCAGAGAAAAAUUUUAUCAGUUUAAAUAGACAAGUAAUAGUUGGUACAGGUGUCAAAAAUAUUGCACGAGACAAUUCCGCAUCUAUGAAAAAGGCAAAGCCUUAGAGUAAUAAUAAAAUAAGUUAUAUCAUUUAAAAAAAAAGUUCUGAUCAUUUAAAUGUUUAGAGUGUCAUCCUGCAGUCAUCCAAUAAGAAGAGUUGGGUUGGUUACAGUGCGGUGUCUGAACUUUUCCCCUGCAGUUAUAUAAAAAGUGUAUGGUACUACACACUUACGUGAAAUUCGUGUAAGAGUUUUGAUCAACGAUGGACAGGCUGUGCAUUCUAAUUUACAUUUCUUCAGUCUUAACCUUGUUGAUAUCACCAUCAGAAGGUGAUACUUUGGAGAUUUUUCAAGCACAAAUUUUUGGACCCUCCACAGCAAAAGUUGGUGAAAAUUUAGAGUUAAAGUGUCUCAUCUCUAACAUUCAGAGCUCAAAUACAAAAGGUUACAUGUAUUUGUGUACAAAUGGUGUUGGAGAGAGAUUAGAACUACUUAUAAAUAAAAAUGAGCACACCUUCACUUUGAGGAAUAUUUCAUUACUGGACUCUGGUACCUACAGUUGCGCGUACUCAUUUAAAAGAUAUCUUCCAGAGAAUGUCAAAGGAUCAGGAAUGAACUCAAUCCGUGUUCGAG